rnacentral:rRNA from 1 species
UGCAAGUCGAACGGGGCGAGGGGGCAACUCCUCGCUUAGUGGCGAACGGGUGAGUAAUGCAUCGGAACGUGUCCCGUAGUGGGGGAUAACCCGGCGAAAGCCGGACUAAUACCGCAUAUGCUCUACGGAGGAAAGUGGGGGACCAGCAAUGGCCUCACGCUAUGGGAGCGGCCGAUGUCCGAUUAGCUUGUUGGUGAGGUAAUGACUCACCAAGGCGACGAUCGGUAGCUGGUCUGAGAGGAUGAUCAGCCACACUGGGACUGAGACACGGCCCAGACUCCUACGGGAGGCAGCAGUGGGGAAUUUUGGACAAUGGGGGCAACCCUGAUCCAGCCAUGCCGCGUGCGGGAAGAAGGCCUUCGGGUUGUAAACCGCUUUUAGUCGGGAAGAAAAGGCCGAGGUUAAUAACCUGGGUUUUUGACGGUACCGGCGGAAUAAGCACCGGCUAACUACGUGCCAGCAGCCGCGGUAAUACGUAGGGUGCGAGCGUUAAUCGGAAUUACUGGGCGUAAAGCGUGCGCAGGCGGUUCGUCGUGUCUGAUGUGAAAGC